rnacentral:rRNA from 1 species
GACGAACGCUGGCGGCGUGCUUAACACAUGCAAGUCGAACGGUGAUGACAGGGCUUGCCUUGUCUGAUCAGUGGCGAACGGGUGAGUAACACGUGAGUAACCUGCCCCAGACUCUGGGAUAACCCCGGGAAACCGGAGCUAAUACCGGAUAUGACACCAACCUGCAUGGGUAUGGUGUGGAAAGUUUUUUCGGUCUGGGAUGGACUCGCGGCCUAUCAGCUUGUUGGUGAGGUAAUGGCUCACCAAGGCGACGACGGGUAGCCGGCCUGAGAGGGCGACCGGCCACACUGGGACUGAGACACGGCCCAGACUCCUACGGGAGGCAGCAGUGGGGAAUAUUGCACAAUGGGCGAAAGCCUGAUGCAGCGACGCCGCGUGAGGGAUGACGGCCUUCGGGUUGUAAACCUCUUUCAGCAGGGAAGAAGCGCAAGUGACGGUACCUGCAGAAGAAGCACCGGCUAACUCUGUGCAGCCGCCGCGGUAAAAC